AGACUCAACUCUCGAGAGGUUUCUUGCGAGUUGGAUUUGGGUGUUGCCAUUUGGCUCGCCUUAAAAGUGUUAGUGGUUUAAGCACUUGAUCGGACGUGAUAAGUUUCGUCCGGCCGUGUGUCGUCGACCGCUCCUAAACCGCCUUGCGGCGCUCUUUGACU
rnacentral:misc_RNA from 1 species